AUCUACACCAAAGCACUACUUAGUGAACGUGCCUGCAAGCAAGUGUCGUAAGGGAGAAGACUGGAGGAACCAGUUGAAUGGGGUUCAGAGAACACACCGAGGAGGUUCGUUGUUAAGGUUGCUUGUUAACAGCCAAGCGUUGCUGUAGCAGUUUUACUUUUUGACGAUCACUUUCACAUUUAUUAUUCUCCCAUUCACAACUCCAAAGGAUAAAAGGUGGGAACCUGGGGCUUGGACACACGUCCUUGCGUAUGGUAACAUGUGUACUCAACUGGGUGUGCCUCCCAGUGCAUGAAACCAUUCUCGGAAUAAGCCACCAGGUUCCGGAUGCCAGCAAGAUGCUGACCAGACUUCCCUGGACAGACAACCCCAUCAAUGUGUACUGGAGCUCUGCUUCUGAGUAGGAUUUUGUUGUGUACAUAUAGAGUAUGAUGAGUCUUAUACAUAUAGAGGGGUGACACUGUACCACUGAAAUCUUGUAGUAUCAUAAAUUAGUGAUAAACCAAUCAAUAAAAUGUCAUCAGUGAAUGGGCCAGGCAGUAGUGAGUGGGCUAGGCAGUAGCGCAUCAAGUUAAGUGCACACAGUACUAAGCACAAGAUGCAAAGAUCCUGG